CCUACGGGAGGCAGCAGUGGGGAAUAUUGCACAAUGGGGGAAACCCUGAUGCAGCGACGCCGCGUGAGUGAAGAAGUAUUUCGGUACGUAAAGCUCUAUCAGCAGGGAAGAAAAUGACGGUACCCCAAUAGCAAGACACGGCUAACUACGUGCCAGCAGCCGCGGUAAUACGUAGGUGGCAAGCGUUAUCCGGAAUGACUGGGCGUAAAGGGUGCGUAGGUGGUUUAGUAAGUUGGCGGUGUAAUUCCGGGGCUCAACCUCGGCGCUACCGCCAACACUAUUCGACUAGAGUGCAGGAGGGGGAAGUGGAAUUCCUAGUGGAGCGGUGGAAUGCGUAGAUAUUAGGAGGAACAUCAGGGGCGAAGGCGACUUACUGGACUGUAACUGACACUGAGGCACGAAAGCGUGGGGAGCAAACAGGAUUAGAUACCCUUGUAGUC
rnacentral:rRNA from 1 species